GAUGAACGCUGGCGGCGUGCCUAAUACAUGCCAGUCGAGCGAACAGACGACGUGCUUGCUCCACUGACGUUAGCGGCGGACGGGUUAGUAACACGUGGAUACCCUCCCUAUAAGACUGGGAUAACUUCGUGAAACCGGACCUAAUACCAGCUAAUAUAUUGAACCGCAUGGUUCAAUAGUGUACGACGGCUUUGCUGUCACUUAUAGAUGGAUCCGCGCCGCAUUAGCUAGUUGGUAAGGUAACGGCUUACCAAGGCAACGAUGCGUAGCCGACCUGAGAGGAUGAUCAGCCACACUGGGACUGAGACACGGUCCAGACUCCUACGGGAGGCAGCAGUAGGGAAUCUUCGGCAAUGGGCGAAAGCCUGACGCAGCCACGCCGCGUGAGUGAUGAAGGCCUUCGGAUUGUAAAACUCUGUUAUUAGGGAAGAAAAAACGUGUAAUUAUAUAUGCACGUCAUGACGGUACCUAAACAGAAAGCCACGGCUAACUACGUG
rnacentral:rRNA from 1 species